rnacentral:rRNA from 1 species
GACGAACGCUGGCGGCGUGCCUAAUACAUGCAAGUUGAGCGCUGAAGGUUGGUACUUGUACCAAUCGGAUGAGCAGCGAACGGGUGAGUAACGCGUGGGGAAUCUGCCUUUGAGCGGGGGACAACAUUUGGAAACGAAUGCUAAUACCGCAUAAAAACUUUAAACACAAGUUUUAAGUUUGAAAGAUGCAAUUGCAUCACUCAAAGAUGAUCCCGCGUUGUAUUAGCUAGUUGGUGAGGUAAAGGCUCACCAAGGCGAUGAUACAUAGCCGACCUGAGAGGGUGAUCGGCCACAUUGGGAUGAGACACGGCCCAAACUCCUACGGGAGGCAGCAGUAGGGAAUCUUCGGCAAUGGACGAAAGUCUGACUGAGCAACGCCGCGUGAGUGAAGAAGGUUUUCGGAUCGUAAAACUCUGUUGGUAGAGAAGAACGUUGGUGAGAGUGGAAAGCUCAUCA